UACAGAGGGUGCAAGCGUUAAUCGGAAUUACUGGGCGUAAAGCGUGCGUAGGCGGAUUAUUAAGUCCGAUGUGAAAUCCCCGGGCUCAACCUGGGAAUUGCAUCUGAUACUGGUAGUCUAGAGUAUGGUAGAGGAUAGUGGAAUUUUCGGUGUAGCGGUGAAAUGCGUAGAUAUCGAAAGGAACAUCAGUGGCGAAGGCGACUGUCUGGACCAAUACUGACGCUGAGGUACGAAAGCGUGGGUAGCGAACAGG
rnacentral:rRNA from 1 species